rnacentral:rRNA from 1 species
GCUUGUCUCAAAGAUUAAGCCAUGCAUGUCUAAGUAUAAGCAAUUAUNCAGCGAAACUGCGAAUGGCUCAUUAUAUAAGUUAUCGUUUAUUUGAUAGUACCUUACUACUUGGAUAACCGUGGUAAUUCUAGAGCUAAUACAUGCUAAAAAUCCCGACUUCGGAAGGGAUGUAUUUAUUAGAUUAAAAACCAAUGCCCUCUGGGCUCCUUGGUGAUUCAUAAUAACUUUUCGAAUCGCAUGGCCUUGCGCCGGCGAUGGUUCAUUCAAAUUUCUUCCCUAUCAACUUUCGAUGUUUGGGUAUUGGCCAAACAUGGUCGCAACGGGUAACGGAGGGUUAGGGCUCGACCCCGGAGAAGGAGCCUGAGAAACGGCUACUACAUCCAAGGAAGGCAGCAGGCGCGCAAAUUACCCAAUCCCGAUUCGGGGAGGUAGUGACAAUAAAUACUGAUACAGGGCUCUUUUGGGUCUUGUAAUUGGAAUGAGUACAAUUUAAAUCCCUUAACGAGGAACAAUUGGAGGGCAAGUCUGGUGCCAGCAGCCGCGGUAAUUCCAGCUCCAAUAGCGUAUAUUAAAGUUGUUGUGGUUAAAANGCUCGUAGUUGAACCUUGGGCCUGGCUGGCCGGUCCGCCUCACCGCGUGUACUGGUCCGGCCGGGCCUUUCCCUCUGUGGAACCUCAUGCCCUUCACUGGGUGUGGCGGGGAAACAGGACUUUUACUUUGAAAAAAUUAGAGUGCUCCAGGCAGGCCUAUGCUCGAAUACAUUAGCAUGGAAUAAUGAAAUAGGACGUGUGGUUCUAUUUUGUUGGUUUCUAGGACCGCCGUAAUGAUUAAUAGGGACAGUCGGGGGCAUCAGUAUUCAAUUGUCAGAGGUGAAAUUCUUGGAUUUAUUGAAGACUAACUACUGCGAAAGCAUUUGCCAAGGAUGUUUUCAUUAAUCAAGAACGAAAGUUAGGGGAUCGAAGACGAUCAGAUACCGUCGUAGUCUUAACCAUAAACUAUGCCGACUAGGGAUCGGACGAUGUUAUUUUUUGACGCGUUCGGCACCUUAC